UCUUGCGCAAUGGGCGAAAGCCUGACGCAGCAACGCCGCGUGUGUGAUGAAGGUCUUCGGAUCGUAAAGCACUGUCGGAAGGGACGAAUAAGGUUGGCGCUAAUACCGCCAGCUGAUGACGGUACCUCCAAAGGAAGCACCGGCUAACUCUGUGCCAGCAGCCGCGGUAAUACAGAGGGUGCAAGCGUUGUUCGGAAUUAUUGGGCGUAAAGCGCGUGUAGGCGGCUUUGUGUGUCGGGUGUGAAAGCCCUCGGCUUAACCGAGGAAGUGCGCCCGAAACUGCAUCGCUUGAGUGCCGGAGAGGGUGGCGGAAUUCCCGGUGUAGAGGUGAAAUUCGUAGAUAUCGGGAGGAACACCAGUGGCGAAGGCGGCCACCUGGACGGCAACUGACGCUGAGACGCGAAAGCGUGGGGAGCAAACAGG
rnacentral:rRNA from 1 species